AGCGAACGCUGGCGGCAGGCUUAACACAUGCAAGUCGAGCGGGCCUUUCGGGGUCAGCGGCGGAAGGGUGAGUAACGCGUGGGAACGUGCCCUCUGGUUCGGAAUAACUCAGGGAAACUUGAGCUAAUACCGGAUACGCCCUUUUGGGGAAAGGCUUGCUGCCGGAGGAUCGGCCCGCGUCUGAUUAGCUAGUUGGUGAGGUAACGGCUCACCAAGGCGACGACCAGUAGCUGGUCUGAGAGGAUGAUCAGCCACACUGGGACUGAGACACGGCCCAGACUCCUACGGGAGGCAGCAGUGGGGAAUAUUGGACAAUGGGCGCAAGCCUGAUCCAGCCAUGCCGCGUGAGUGAUGAAGGCCUUAGGGUUGUAAGGCUCUUUUAUCCGGGACGAUAAUGACGGUACCGGAGGAAUAAGCCCCGGCUAACUUCGUG
rnacentral:rRNA from 1 species